rnacentral:rRNA from 1 species
AGUUUGAUCCUGGCUCAGAUUGAACGCUGGCGGGAUGCUUUACACAUGCAAGUCGAACGGCAGCACGGACUUCGGUCCUGGUGGCGAGUGGCGAACGGGUGAGUAAUGUAUCGGAACGUGCCUAGUAGCGGGGGAUAACUACGCGGCGUAGCUGUACCGCAUACACCCUUCGGGGGAAAGCGGGGGACCUUCGGGCCUCGCACUAUUAGAGCGGCCGAUAUCGGAUUAGCUAGUUGGUGGGGUAACGGCUCACCAAGGCGACGAUCCGUAGCUGGUUUGAGAGGACGACCAGCCACACUGGACUGGAACACGGCCCAGACUCCUACAGGAGGCAGCAGUGGGGAAUUUUGGACAAUGGGAAACCUGAUCCAGCCAUCCCGCGUGUGCGAUGAAGGCCUUCGGGUUGUAAAGCACUUUUGGCAGGAAAGAAACGGCCUGGGUAAUACCCCGUGCAACUGACAGUACCUGCAGAAUAAGCACCGGCUAACUACGUGCCAGCAGCCGCGGUAAUACGUAGGGUGCAAGCGUUAAUCGGAAUUACUGAGGCGUAAAGCGUGCGCAGGCGGUUCGGAAAGAAAGAUGUGAAAUCCCAGAGCUUAACUUUGGAGACUGCAUUUUUAACUACCGAGCUAGAGUGUGUCAGAGGGAGGUGGAAUUCCACGCGUGUAGCAGUGAAAUGCGUAGAUAUGCGGAGGAACACCGAUGGCGAAGGCAGCCUCCUGGGAUAACACCCCGACGCUCAUGCACGAAAAGCGUGGGGAGCAAACAGGAUUAGAUACCCUGGUAGUCCACGCCCUAAACGAUGUCAACUAGCUGUUGGGCCUUCGGGCCUUGGUAGCGCAGCUAACGCGUGAAGUUGACCGCCUGGGAAUUACGGUCGCAAGAUUAAAACUCAAAGGAAUUGACGGGGACCGCACAAGCGGUGGAUGAUGUGGAUUAAUUCGAUGCAACGCGAAAACCUUACCUACCCUUGGUAUGUCUGGAAUCCCGAAGAGAUUUGGGAGUGCUCGCAAGAGAACCGGAACACAGGUGCUGCAUGGCUGUCGUAAAGCUCGUAUCGUGAGAUGUUGGGUUAAGUCCCGCAACGAGCGCAACCCUUGUCAUUAGUUGCUACGAAGGGCACUCUAAUGAGACUGCCGGUGACAAACCGGAGGAAGGUGGGGAUGACGUCAAGUCCUCAUGGCCCUUAUGGGUAGGGCUUCACACGUCAUACAAUGGUCGGGACAGAGGGUCGCCAACCGCGAGGGGAGCCAAUCCCGGAAACCCGAUCGUAGUCCGGAUCAUGAUCUGCAACUCGACUGCGUGAAGUCGGAAUCGCUAGUAAUCGCGGAUCAGCAUGUCGCGGUGAAUACGUUCCCGGGUCUUGUACACACCGCCCGUCACACCAUGGGGAGUGGGUUUUUUACCAGGGAAACAGUUAGCCUAACCUGCAUGGAGGCGAUUACCACGGUAGGAUUCAUGACUGGGGUGAAGUCGUAACAAGGUAA